rnacentral:rRNA from 1 species
UACGUAGGGUCCGAGCGUUGUCCGGAAUUAUUGGGCGUAAAGAGCUUGUAGGCGGUUUGUCGCGUCUGCUGUGAAAAUCCGGGGCUCAACCCCGGACUUGCAGUGGGUACGGGCAGACUGGAGUGUGGUAGGGGAGACGUGGAAUUCCUGGUGUAGCGGUGGAAUGCGCAGAUAUCAGGAGGAACACCGAUGGCGAAGGCAGGUCUCUGGGCCACUACUGACGCUGAGAAGCGAAAGCAUGGGGAGCGAACAGG